AACGGUCUAUACCUGCGGUACCUGCGGAAGGAUCAUUAUCGAAGCAUAGAGCGCGCUUUGCUGCGGCUCGACCCUUCACAUCCGCUCACCCCUGUGCACUGUAACCAUUUAUCCUCUAACCCUACUGGUUGAUGAAUGUAAUGGACCCUUAUAAUUAGCAUAAAACUUUUAGCAACGGAUCUCU
rnacentral:misc_RNA from 1 species